GUUUGCACACUCGCAUCGGGAGCGCGGCGCGUCCACAGCCGUUAAACACCCAACUUCUGAAAUGUUGACCUCGGAUCAGGUAGGAAUACCCGCUGAACUUAAGCAUAUCAAUAGCGGAGGAA
rnacentral:rRNA from 1 species